rnacentral:rRNA from 1 species
UACAGAGGGUGCGAGCGUUGUCCGGAAUCACUGGGCGUAAAGGGCGCGUAGGCGGUCUCUUAAGCGUGUGGUGAAAGCCCGGGGCUCAACUCCGGGUCGGCCGUGCGAACUGGGGGACUGGAGCUUGUCAGAGGCAGGCGGAAUUCCGGGUGUAGCGGUGGAAUGCGUAGAGAUCCGGAAGAACACCGGUGGCGAAGGCGGCCUGCUGGGACAGUGCUGACGCUGAGGCGCGAAAGCGUGGGGAGCAAACAGG